GUCCACGCCGUAAACGAUGUCUACUAGCCGUUGGGAGCCUUGAGCUCUUAGUGGCGCAGCUAACGCACUAAGUAGACCGCCUGGGGAGUACGGUCGCAAGAUUAAAACUCAAAUGAAUUGACGGGGGCCCCGCACAAGCGGUGGAGCAUGUGGUUUAAUUCGACGCAACGCGAAGAACCUUACCAGGUCUUGACAUCCAGAGAACUUUCCAGAGAUGGAUUGGUGCCUUCGGGAGCUCUGAGACAGGUGCUGCAUGGCUGUCGU
rnacentral:rRNA from 1 species